rnacentral:rRNA from 1 species
ACGCUCGACACCUACGGGGGCAGCAGUGGGGAAUAUUGCACAAUGGGGGAAACCCGUGAUGCAGCGACGCCGCGUGAAGGAAGAAGUAUCUCGGUAUGUAAACUCCUAUCAGCAGGGAAGAAAAAUGACGGUACCUGACUAAGAAGCCCCGGCCUAACUACGUGCUAGCAGCCGCGGUAAUCUGAGCGGGCGUGGCAAGGC